CUCCCGACCCCACCCUGAGUUUUUGCACACAGGGGCCAAUGCUGGGGUCCUCUAUCUUUUCUGCAGCCCGCUGAAAGGCCAGGCUCAAAGUGGCACUCCAUAAAUAUUUGCUGACGGAGACAUUUUCUUAGGGAAGAGCAAGAGAUUUGGAGUCGGAAGACCUGGAGUUAAGUCUUGGUUCAACCAUGGGGGCUGAGCAAGUCCACUCGCUCUCUCUGGACCUGUAAAGCACCAACAUGUGUCUCCUGUAUGUAAGGCCCAUGUGAGGAGGAAGCCAGGGGAGAUUUGCAGCUCUUUGUAAACUGUGAAGGGAUGGAGCCACACCUGUCACAGCAAUUCCAGCCUUCUCUCACUACUCCUCGAAGUUCAGCAUUUCGUGUGUCCGGCGUACUUAUACCAAGGGUCACCAGACACCUGUGUGUGGUGCCUGCACACUGGUUCACAUCCACACCUGCCCCCUCUAAGGUAGGUAGGGUUUCUUCUAGUUCAAGUUGGAAAACAUGAAGUAGUAUUAAUAGUUCCCCCCCCCCACUCCCAAAUGAACAGUGAUGCUGCCAGGCAAAAGGCAACAAAAAAGCAUUUCAUUAGCUUUCGGGUGACUUGGAAACUCUCAUCUAAAAAUACGGACAAGGAGGGAGGAGCAAGAUGGCGGAAGAGUAGGGUCUCCAAAUCACCAGUCUCCACCAAACUACCUAGAAAACCUUCAAAUUAUCCUGAAAAUCUAUGAAUUCGGCCUGAGAUUUAAAGAGAGACCAGCUGGAAUGCAACAGUGAGAAGAGUUCGCGCUUCUAUCAAGGUAGGAAGACGGGGAAAAAGAAAUAAAGACACAAAGGCCUCCAAGGGGGAGGGGCCCCGCGAGGAGCCGGGCUGAGGCCGGGGCGAGGGUCCCCAGGACAGGAGAGCCCCGUCCCGGAGACGCAGGAGCUGCACCGACCUUCCCGGGCGGAAAGGGGCUCGCGGGGAGUUGGAGCAGGACCCAGGAGGGCGGGGAUGCCCUCGGGCUCCCCGGGACAGUAACAGCAACUGCGCACCCAGGAGAGUGCGCCGAGCUCCCUAAG
rnacentral:lncRNA from 1 species